UGCGUAGGCGGUCAUAUUAGUCGGUGUUAAAUCCUGGGGCUCAACCCCAGGCUCGCAUUCGAAACGGUAUGACUAGAAGGAGUGAGAGGUGCAUGGAACUCAAGGUGUAGGGGUGAAAUCCGUUGAUAUCUUGGGGAACACCAAAUGCGAAGGCAAUGCACUGGCACUUUCUUGACGCUGAGGCACGAAAGCGUGGGUAGCGAAC
rnacentral:rRNA from 1 species